CAACCUGAGGAGCGCUGCAACGGGGACUUCCCGCCAGGCUCAGGUUCAUGUAACGGCGCUCGCUGACU
rnacentral:ncRNA from 20 species